UCGUGGAGUGAUCUGUCUGCUUAAUUGCGUUUCAGAUUAUAAUACAACUAUUGAACUAUAUACAUUGUAUACUUCAUUGUAUACUAAUUGUAAGUCAACUGUUGUUGUUGAAAGCAACGAACGUGACCUCAACUCAAUGUUGGUACAUAUACUAUUGUACUAUUAAACUUUGAGGACUGCCAGGGUUGGUCAACCCGGAGGAAGGUUGAGGCAAUAACA
rnacentral:rRNA from 1 species